GGUCGGAUAAGGCGUUCACGCCGCAUCCGACAGCCGUUGCCUGAUGCGACGCGUAAUGCGUCUUAUCAGGCC
rfam:Escherichia coli str. K-12 substr. MG1655, complete genome.